ensembl:lncRNA JPX JPX transcript, XIST activator
AGUGGAAGACUUAAGAUGGCGGCGUUUGCACGGAGUGCAAUCACUGCGUCCUUACGGGGGUUGCAAGGCGUCCGAAGUAUGAGUCCACUAACAAAAGUCCAGAAACUCGCCAGUUAAUAGUAUUGUGUCUCUUCAAAAUAUCGGAGAAUAAUUUCUUUCUCGCUGAUCGCCUAACUUCUACUGACGAAGCUUGGAAGUUGCAGAAGACAUGAUGUAUUGAGUAAAAGGAACUUCGGUACACAGGCCUUUAGUGAUGUGGUGGUAAGAUGUAUGUUUCUUCAAAGGAAAGAAGCAACUGGAACACACAUAUAACACUAACCCUUCCAGCUGCAUUAUGAGGGACCAGUACCUGUCUCAAGGCAAAAUUAUGACUUAGUUCAUCCUCACCUCUGGAGGCCAGUAAAAGUGGGUUAUAGAAGAACAAAGAGGCAUCUAGAUCUUUCACUGGGUUAUUUGGAGAGAAACAUCUCCUACCGAAGGCCAGUUUAACAAGACUGGUAGAGGAGGUUAUCUUAUCUAAUUCACAGAAAUCAACACAUUGAGUCAAGAAAAAUGAAACACAGAAACACUCUAAAUAAAAGAAGAUAAGUCUUCAGAAACCAACCCUAAUGAAAUGAAGAUAUGUGAUUAACCUGACAGGAAAUUAAAAAGAGCAACCAUAAAGAGUCUCAUGGGAGCAAUGCAUGAACAAACUGAGAAUUUUCAUAAAGAAAUAAAAGAUAACAAAAAGUAUAAAGUUGAAGAAUACAAUAACUGGACUCAAAAAUUUAAUGUGUCCAACAGAAGAAUCGAUGAAGCAGAAGAAAGGGCUAUCAAACUUGUAGAUAGGCCAUUGGAAAUCAUGUAAUGUGAGGAGAAAAAAGAAAAAAGAUUGAAGAUAGUUUAAGAGACUUUUGAGACAUCCUCAAAGGGGAAUAAUUUAUACAUUACCAGAUGGAGAAGAUAGAGGGAAAAGGACAGAAAACAUAUUUGAAGAAAUAAUGUCAGAAAACCUCAUAAUUCUGGCAAGGAAAUAGAAAUUUAGAUCUAAGAAUCUCGAACAUCAGGUAUGAUGAAUCCAAGGAGACUCACACCAAACCAUAUUGUAAUUAAAUAAAGGUUAAAGACAAUCUUCAGAGCAGCAAGGGAAUAGUCUCUUCUUACAUACAAAAUGAUCCACGGAAGACUGUCAGCAGACUUCACCAGAAAACUUUCACGCCAGAAGGCAGUCGUGAUAUAUACAAAAAGCUGAAAGGAAAACACUGCCAUCCAGGAAUACUAUCUCCAACUAUCCUGUGUUUCAAAAAUUAAGGAGAAAUAUAAAGUUCUCAAACAAAAGAUGUGGGAGUUUACCACCACUAGACCUGCACGGGAAGAAUUGCUAAAGGGAGUCCUUCAAGCUGUAGUAAAAGAGUGCUAAUUAGAAACAUGAAAACAAAUACAAAAAAAAUUCUAAAACUUGUAUGGAACUACAAAAGACAUUAAAUAAUCAAAGUAAUCUUGAGCAACAAGGACACAGCUGGAGGCAUCACUCUACCUGAUUUUGUAAUCCAUUAUCAAAAAACUGUGGUACCAGCAUAAAAACAGAUUCACUGACCAGUGGAACAGGAAAGCCCAGACAUAACUCAUACAUUUCCAUCCAAUUGAUUUUUGACAAAAGUGGCACACAGAAUGGGGAGAGGACAAAUAAAUAAAUAAAUUGUUUUGAGA